UCGGAACCGUCCCAUCUUACUUGAAGGAGCAGCGUUGGAAGGGGACCCAAAACAUGUGUUCCAGGAGUGGAUUCCCCUACUUGGACAGGCCUGGCCUAAGGGGAAGUUCUCGGGGAAAGGGCCAGGAACCCUGAAACCCUCGAACACGAAAAACCCCAUGGGGAAUGGUGAAAAUCUGGAAUAUCACCAUUUUUCCUGGGGAAGUCUGAUUUGAUCGUGAGUGUACACCGUUUCGUUCCAGAAGCAAACGAAUCGAGCAGAAGCGAAACGAUGGUGGUCGAAUUUGGCGAUAAAGAAAAGAGAAACAAGAGAAUCGUAGACGUUCUUCAGCUCCUUGAAAGUUUUAAAGGGGAACCUUCUGCUUAUACGGCAAAUAUCUUUCCUCUGAUGGCGCGAACAGAAAUUUCUCCGUUUCCCGUCUCGGAAAAAUAAGGAGCAAAAGAAAUGUACAUGUCCGAUUCGAAGGGACACCGGGCUGCGGCGCCCCCUACAGAUCUAGCGCCCUGGACGAUUGCCCGACCGCAUCCCCUCCUAACGCCGGCACUGACUGGGAGGCUAAGGAAGUAGAUGUGAGGACGAAUCUACGUAUGGCUAACGUAGGGAACCUUGAGAGAGUGAUAUGCGGACGAACCCUACGUAUGGCUAACUUAAGGAGCCGCAGGAAAUGUUAAUGUGAAUUAUUAGUGCACUUCGAGCGAUUAAGGUACACCUUAGUGGGUAAAACUUUAGUUUACCGGACCCAAAAUUUUGGACCUUUUCUUUUUGAAUCUAUAGUUUUUGAUGCGUAGAAUCUGAAAAUGCAAGGCUUAACUUUAGGAAUCUAAUGGUUAAAAAGUUAUAAGCGUGUAAAGUUUGACAUUUUUAGCGGAUUUGCUACGUUACUGUGACGCCAUAUUGCCUUAGAUGUAUAACCUGAUUGGUCCUCGCAUAGCGUAGAACUAAACUUCCGCUUACCUUAAUUAAAAACAUAUUGUUUCCGAAUCGCUUUCAUCAUUGAUCCCAUGAGGUCUAUGUUGUUGUGACGGCAAAACCGUCGCCACAGAUAUUCGCAUAAGCGAUCGGCAAAUUCCUCGUCGUGAAAACGACUCCUCCCCCUCUUCCAGUCCUUUGCCGGCCGCCAAUUUGACUCUAUUUGCUGGGUAUGAGUCCCAUCACUAGCUGUAUUUAAAUUAUUCAUAAAAUUGAAUUCUCUCUCUCUCUUUAAAAAAAUAUACACCUAACUAACUCAGACAGUAUCAAAUUUACCCGCCAAAGUAGUCGGCACCCACGUGAAUCUGCCUGCAGCUAGCGACACCGUUCAUUGGACAAGAAGUCAAUAUGGCGUCACAGUAACGUAACAAAUCCUCUAAAAAUGUCAAACUUUACACGCUUAUAACUUUUUAACCACUGAAUUCCUAAAGUUGAGACUUGCAUUUUUGGAUUCUCCGCAUCAAAAACUACAGAUUCAAAUAAAAAAGGUGCAAAAUUUUGGGUCCGGUAAAAGUUCAGCCCCUUAGUGAGUUCUCUGGACAGGUUAUUACAAUUGAACAACAAUAUGUAAGUUAUAGAAAGAUCUGAAUCUAUUCUCCUUGUUACCGGGACUUUACAACUGUUGCGUGCAACUGUCGCAGUAUUGAAUGAAUUUCAUUCUAGAUUUACAAUUUUAAGUGAAUUGAAUUAAGAGAGUUUGGUUUCGAUUUCGCGAAGCAAGAAAAUUUAGUCCUCGGUUUUAACGAACGCGAGCGAACGAGGGCGAACUACAACGGUAAUAAUAAUGCCUAACUGCAAAUAAUGUACUGUAUGGUUACUACAGUAGCUUGAAGGAGACUUGUAUAAAGACCGAUCUCGCAGAGUUUUCUCGUCGCAGAGAUUAUCCGUAAGAGAAACGUACUUUGUAGACUUUAACUAGACCCGAGGUGCCUUCGCCGUCACCCCUUUUUAUACCUAAAAAUUGGAGUAAAAAGAGUAGUGGGGAUGGACUUUACGUGAUUCCGAGGGACCGCGUCCUUGCUUCGCGUUGGUCCCGAAUUUCUGGAAAACUUGACUUUGCUGGAUGUACGCAUCCAACUGCAAAUAAGAAAAUUUCAGAGACGGGAACGUAACAAAACUAUCGUCUUAUUGCAUUCUAUGCUGCAAUUAGAAUACAUAUUAUUCACUAGUGUGAUUAGUCUAGCAGUUAAUUAAUAAAUGAUAAUAAACUACACUCAUAAAUGAA